CUAANUCCGUGNCAGCAGCCGCGGUANUACGGAGGGUNCGAGCNUAAUCCNGAAUCANUGGGUUAAAGGGUCCGUAGGCGGGCCUGUAAGUCAGGGGUGAAAGUUUGUGGCUCAACCAUAAAAAUUGCCUUUGAUNCUGCAGGUCNUGAGUCAUGGUGGGGUCGCCGGAACAUGUGGUGUAGCGGUGAAAAUGCAUAGAUAUCACAUAGAACACCGAUCGCGAAAGGCAGGUGACCAACCAUGUACUGACGCUGAUGGACGAAAAGCGUGGGUAGCGAACGGGAUUAGAUACCCCGGUAGUCCACGCCGUAAACGAUGGAUACUAGCUGUGGGGACUUCGGUCUCCGUGGCCAAGCGAAAGUNAUAAGUAUCCCACCUGGGGAGUACGUUCGCAAGAAUGAAACUCAAAGGAAUUGACGGGGGCCCGCACAAGCGGUGGAGCAUGUGGUUUAAUUCGAUGAUACGCGAGGAACCUUACCAGGGCUUAAAUGCAGGCUGCAUGGGGUGGAGACACCCCUUUCUUCGGACUGCCUGCAAGGUGCUGCAUGGUUGUCGUCAGCUCGUGCCGUGAGGUGUCAGGUUAAGUCCUAUAACGAGCGCAACCCCUACCGUUAGUUGCCAGCAUGUAAAGAUGGGGACUCUAGCGGGACUGCCGGUGCAAACCGUGAGGAAGGUGGGGACGACGUCAAAUCAUCACGGCCCUUACGUCCUGGGCUACACACGUGCUACAAUGGCCGGUACAGAGGGAAGCCACCCCGCAAGGGGGCGCGGAUCUACAAAACCG
rnacentral:rRNA from 1 species